GAUGAACGCUGGCGGCGUGCCUAAUACAUGCAAGUCGAGCGAACAGACGAGGAGCUUGCUCCUCUGACGUUAGCGGCGGACGGGUUAGUAACACGUGGAUAACCUACCUAUAAGACUGGGAUAACUUCGGGAAACCGUAGCUAAUACCGGAUAAUAUAUUUCACCGCAUGGUUCAAUAGUGAAAGACGGUUUUGCUUUCACUUAUAGCUUGAUCCGCGCCGCAUUAGCUAGUUGGUAAGGUAACUGCUUACCAAGGCAACGAUGCGUAGCCGACCUGAGAGGGUGAUCGGCCACACUGGAACUGAGACAAGGUACAGACUCCUACGGGAGGCAGCAGUAGGGAAUCUUCCGCAAUGGGCGAAAGCCUGACGGAGCAAAGCCGCGGGAGGGAUGAAGGUCUUCGGAUCGUAAAACUCUGUUAUUAGGGAAGAACAAAUGUGUAAGUAACUAUGCACGUCUUGACGGUACCUAAUCAGAAAGCCACGGCUAACUACGUG
rnacentral:rRNA from 1 species